rnacentral:lncRNA from 1 species
ACAGCCAUGCCGGCGCCAUCUGUGGAAGAACAACAAGCCGUCUUCCCUUAGAACACCAAUUUGCAGCAAGGUUGGUGCCUUCCGUUGCCACCACGGAUGCAUCCUAUAGACAGUCAUGAAUCAUUCAUGAACAGUUCUGCAUGAUUUAUUCCUGCACUCCAAAGUAAAGGCAUUCCACACUUCAGCUUUGUCUAGACAGAGAUAUAUUAUAGAGCUUUCUCUGCCCUGAGGUUGCCUGUUGCCAGCUUCAAAAAUCCACACUCUCAGAAAGAAAUAAUAAUAAUAAAUGACAGGAAGAAGGUUUGAAACCCAGAAAAUAUCAUUAACAGAGCCAUGUAGCAUAGUGCCCUAUCUAUUAUUAAGGCGUCACUAUGCCCUUUCUAGAAAACAGAAAGAGAGUGCAACUGGGAAGCCGGGGUGCAGAAAUUUUGCAUCGAAGUCUUGGCACAGUGAUAGUCACAGCAAGAAUUUACUAGAACGGAGUAUAAUAUCCAUCAAGAAACUCUCUUCAGAGAGUUUGCGGAAUGAAGGCUGCUCCGUGGCUUCUGUUACCAGCCAGAGAAAGGGAUUUUUUCUUUUUUAUUGUUGUUGUUGGAUUUUUUUCUCUCAGAGUUUCACUACAAGCUGUUUCCUUUGAGACUUUGUAGCACUGACAUUUUUCCCCCUUUAGGGAGAGAUGAACCCUAUACUGUGACAGAAUUUCUCAUAAACGAAUAAAUAUUUUACAACUUCCUUCCACCCAGGUCAUUGAGAAAUUCUUCCCAAACUCUGAACGACAGAGUUCUGGUCUCAUCUGUUGUUGUUUUUUCGUUCUUUGAAGACUGCAGCCACACUGUCACCUCUGUUCUAUUCCUCUUUCGCCUUUGGUUCUCGGCUUUAACUACAGCUCUGUUUAAAUAAGGGAUCAACAUCCUGUUUGUCAGCUGAUGCCUGUUAAAAACGAUUCAGUUUCUAAAAUCUUUGAAAAAUGGUGUGCCUGAAAACUAGUGAGAAAAAAAAAACCUAAAUACUAAACUGUAAAAAGGGGAUUCUAGCAACAAUAUUUGAUGUGGAAAAGAAUAUAUUAUUAAAAAAUUAUUUUGUUAAAUAUAAAGUGUGUUAACCAGCG